rnacentral:rRNA from 1 species
AUUGAACGCUGGCGGUAUGCCUUACACAUGCAAGUCGAACGGUAGAGGAGCAAUCCUCGAGAGUGGCGAACGGGUGAGUAAUACAUCGGAACGUGCCCAGUCGUGGGGGAUAACGUAGCGAAAGCUACGCUAAUACCGCAUACGACCUGAGGGUGAAAGCGGGGGACCGCAAGGCCUCGCGCGAUUGGAGCGGCCGAUGGCAGAUUAGGUAGUUGGUGGGGUAAAGGCCCACCAAGCCUGCGAUCUGUAGCUGGUCUGAGAGGACGACCAGCCACACUGGGACUGAGACACGGCCCAGACUCCUACGGGAGGCAGCAGUGGGGAAUUUUGGACAAUGGGCGAAAGCCUGAUCCAGCCAUACCGCGUGCGGGAAGAAGGCCUCGGUGUAAGCUCUUCGGCUGGGAAGAAAUCGCACAGGCUAAUACUCUGUGUGGAUGACGGUACCAGCACAAGAAGCACCGGCUAACUACGUGCCAGCAGCCGACGG